AACGCAUAUUGCGCUUUAUGGUAUUCCGUAAAGCAUGCCUGUUUGAGAAUCAUUUUACUCUUCACCCUUGGGUGGACUUGGGCCUUCACACUGCAAAGUGCGUGGCCUUAAAGACAUUGUUUGGCUAAAGGUUCUUGACGGAACUAGCGAUGCAUUACCACUUGGGGCUCUGCUUCAUUUUUGCCUAGCUACUCCAUCAUCAAGUCCCUGGUCGGUCAACCUAACAACGGUGGUUUACCACCGACGUAUCGGACUCUGCGACGGCCGGCGCUCUAGCAGCAACAGCCCAGCGAGUCUUGAUGACUUGGUCUCAAAUCAGGCAAGAGUACCCGCUGAACUUAA
rnacentral:misc_RNA from 1 species